ACCCCGGCGAGGGGAGUGAAAAAGAACCUGAAACCGUGUACGUACAAGCAGUGGGAGCACCUUCGGGUGUGACUGCGUACCUUUUGUAUAAUGGGUCAGCGACUUAUAUUCUGUAGCAAGGUUAACCGUAUAGGGGAGCCGCAGGGAAACCGAGUCUUAACUGGGCGUUAAGUUGCAGGGUAUAGACCCGAAACCCGGUGAUCUAGCCAUGGGCAGGUUGAAGGUUGGGUAACACUAACUGGAGGACCGAACCGACUAAUGUUGAAAAAUUAGCGGAUGACUUGUGGCUGGGGGUGAAAGGCCAAUCAAACCGGGAGAUAGCUGGUUCUCCCCGAAAGCUAUUUAGGUAGCGCCUCGUGAACUCAUCUUCGGGGGUAGAGCACUGUUUCGGCUAGGGGGUCAUCCCGACUUACCAACCCGAUGCAAACUACGAAUACCGAAGAAUGUUAUCACGGGAGACACACGGCGGGUGCUAACGUCCGUCGUGAAGAGGGAAACAACCCAGACCG
rnacentral:rRNA from 1 species